GAGCCAGUUGGGGUAGUGGUUGGAGCACUGGAUUAGGACUCUGGAGACCAGGGUUCGAAUCUCUGCUCAUCCA